CCUACGGGUGGCAGCAGUGAGGAAUAUUGGUCAAUGGGCGCGAGCCUGAACCAGCCAAGUAGCGUGAAGGAUGACUGCCCUACGGGUUGUAAACUUCUUUUAUAAAGGAAUAAAGUGGUCCACGUGUGCCAUUUUGUAUGUACGUUAUGAAUAAGGAUCGGCUAACUCCGUGCCAGCAGCCGCGGUAAUACGGAGGAUCCGAGCGUUAUCCGGAUUUAUUGGGUUUAAAGGGAGCGUAGAUGGGUUGUUAAGUCGGGUGUGAAAGUUUGCGGCUCAACCGUAAAAUUGCAAUUGAUACUGGCAGUCUUGAGUACAGUUGAGGUAGGCGGAAUUCGUGGUGUAGCGGUGAAAUGCUUAGAUAUCACGAAGAACUCCGAUUGCGAAGGCAGCUCACUAAACUGCCACUGACACUGAUGCUCGAAAGUGUGGGUAUCAAACAGGAUUAGAUACCCUAGUAGUC
rnacentral:rRNA from 1 species